UAACGUCUCAAGACCAAAGAGGGGGACCUUCGGGCCUCUUGCCAUCGGAUGUGCCCAGAUGGGAUUAGCUAGUAGGUGGGGUAACGGCUCACCUAGGCGACGAUCCCUAGCUGGUCUGAGAGGAUGACCAGCCACACUGGAACUGAGACACGGUCCAGACUCCUACGGGAGGCAGCAGUGGGGAAUAUUGCACAAUGGGCGCAAGCCUGAUGCAGCCAUGCCGCGUGUAUGAAGAAGGCCUUC
rnacentral:rRNA from 2 species